CCCGUUGUUAGAGAGAGAGACAGAGGUCCCGAACAAUUUUCCAAUUGCCGUUUCGAUCCCAGCCAAACAAACAAUCAUGAGCAACGACUAGUAUGUCCAAUUUUCCUUCUCUCCAAACGCCUCUUUUCCUAACUCUCUCUUCCAUUCCCACCACCUGCAUUUACAAAUACAAGCUUUUGCUAAUCGGGGACUCCUCUGUGGGAAAAUCUUGUUUGCUCCUCAGAUUCGCGGAUGAUUCCUAUGUUGACAGCUACAUAAGUACCAUUGGAGUUGAUUUUAAAAUCAGAACUGUGGAGCUGGAUGGAAAGACAAUCAAGCUGCAGAUUUGGGAUACUGCUGGACAGGAGCGGUUCAGGACAAUUACAAGUAGUUAUUACCGAGGAGCCCAUGGAAUAAUUAUUGUCUAUGAUGUUACUGAGAAGGAGAGUUUCAACAAUGUCAAGCAGUGGUUGAAUGAAAUUGACAGAUACGCAAAUGAAAGUGUAUGCAAGCUUCUAGUAGGGAAUAAGUGUGAUUUGGUCGAGAACAAGGUUGUGGACACACAAACUGCGAAGGCAUUUGCAGAUGAGCUUGGAAUCCCAUUCCUUGAGACAAGUGCUAAAGACUCGAUCAAUGUGGAGCAAGCUUUCUUAACCAUGGCUGGCGAGAUCAAGAAAAAGGGUUGGCUCAAGUGGUAAGAGGCUUGGUCUUGGGGGAGGGGAUACCAAGGCUCUUAGCAUUGGGUGCAAACAAUUUCUAUGAGCCACGUCCCACAGGCAAAAAGGCCGAUGAUUUAUCCGAUUAUUAUGAUGUGGUUGCAUUACACGGGGUCUGGUGUUUAGCCGGAUAAAAGACAUGUUGCGAUUAAUGGGUAACCAACCAACUGCGAACAAGUCAACAGGAACUGUUCAAAUGAAGGGGCAGCCAAUCCAGCAGAACAGCAGCUGUUGUGGUUAAGCAUGGCUACUAUAGUUUUCAAUUUGCCGUUACAAAAUUGCUAGACACUGAUCUCAUCUCAGAAACUGUUGACUGUAGUCCCAAAUGGAUAUAUCAGAAACUGUUAAAUAUGUCUAUUUUAAUUCAAUCCUGAUCUUUUGGGAAAA